rnacentral:rRNA from 1 species
AUUGAACGCUGGCGGCAGGCCUAACACAUGCAAGUCGAGCGGAUGAAGGGAGCUUGCUUCUGGAUUCAGCGGCGGACGGGCGAGUAAUGCCUAGGAAUCUGCCCGGUAGUGGGGGAUAACGUCCGGAAACGGGCGCUAAUACCGCAUACGUCCUGAGGGAGAAAGAGGGGGAUCUUCGGACCUCACGCUAUCAGAUGAGCCUAGGUCGGAUUAGCUAGUUGGUUGGGUAAAGGCCUACCAAGGCGACGAUCCGUAACUGGUCUGAGAGGUUGAUCAGUCACACUGGAACUGAGACACGGUCCAGACUCCUACGGGAGGCAGCAGUGGGGAAUAUUGGACAAUGGGCGAAAGCCUGAUCCAGCCAUGCCGCGUGUGUGAAGAAGGUCUUCGGAUUUUAAAGCACUUUAAGUGGGGAGGAAGGGCAGUAAGUUAAUACCUUGCUGUUUUGACGGUACCAACAGAAUAAGCGCCGGCUAACUACGUG